UCUGACUAAAAAAAAGUGUGAAGUACAAUUAUUGAAAGUGAGUAGAAGGAUCAAUGGGAAAUAUAAAUGAACCCAUGGGUGAGUGGGUUGUGGUAUCACCCUGAGAUCUAAGAUAUCGAGAACAGAGAAGUCUGUGUGGGGUGGGGAUGGAUUUGACUGACCAUAUUGUAUGCAUGUGUGAAUAUUUCAUAACCCUUUCAAAGAGAAGUAGCACUAAUGAUUUUACUAUCCAAAUCAAACAAGGACAUAGUUUAGCUAAGAAAAGUUCAUGGUGCAUAUGAUUGUUUCCUACUGCAUGGGGAUGAAGCUUCGUCAGUGAUACAGCACAUGGCUCUGUAUCCAAAGCACCGGAUCCCAUCCAUCCCCAAUACUGAAAAAGAAAUUUGUCAUUGGUCAAAGUAUAGCUUCUUUUUAAUGACCAUAUCAAUAUCAAUAAAACAUAUUAAAUAAAAUUGAACAAAAAGUAGCCAUGGUGUAUAUAGAAUUGAUAUACAAUUUCACAUUGGUCAGUCCACAUUUCACACCUUAUGAGUUAUGAGAUACCUCUUUUUGCAACAUAUGAGGCCUAGAUAGGAAAAACUAGCCUAGGUUCAUUCCUGUUUAAAGUGUAGUUGUCUGUAGACUUUGGAUUAUUCACAGGGAGCUAGUGAGUUAAUUGAUAAACAAGGCUGGAUAACCAGAAGUGAAUUUACCAGAACUCCGGAUCAAUAGAGCUGCUGGUGUGAGUCACAGGUGGUCUGGAACACUGAAGCCCUCAGAUAAAAACAAUUAUUCCUUUCGCCCACUCCAGAAUGGAUGUGAUAGAUAGAUUUGGCAUUUUGUAAGGAUCUCGCCUCAGUUUGCUUUUCACAGGUUUUGAUUAUUUUUGCAGUCAGGAAAUCAAUAAGAGAAUGUACGUUGUCGGACACAUUAAAGAGGUACGUUUUUUUAUUGUGAGUCAUUUUAAGAUAUAAAGAACCCAUGUACAAUUAUAAGUCAGUAAAGAUAAGGGAACAUAAUAUCAUCUAAUGAUAAUAAAAUGAGAAAGAACACUAAUUCCUAACAUUACUAAUGCUAAUAAAUAGUGAUAAUUAGUUAAGGGAUAAAUGUUCAGAAAUGUUUCUUGUGGUUACCAGUCAUGACUGGUACUCUUUCAUUUUGUUAGUGGAAGUUCAAGGCUGUCUUGUUAUUCUUAAUAGACUUUGAAAUAUAUAUUAAGCUUAAUCAGAUACAUCCAAGUGACCCAAGGAUACCAGGGGCAAUGAUAGAAAUGUCUCAAGUGUUUAAGUGUUUGCUCCAGUGUGUGGUAAGGUUGAGGCCAUUACACUGGGCUCUAUGAGUUCCUCCCAAUGUACACAGUAAGAAAGGACCGUGUCUGUGCCCAUUCUUAAUGUAGCAGUAAGGACAGGUCACAUGAAUGUGCACACAAACUAGACAAAUUACAAAAGUUCUUAUGGACAAAUACAUCAUGUAUAUUGUUGUAUUGUUAUUAGAGAUUUAUCAACCAAUUACUUUACAAGCUAGAUGAGAAUAACUAGAAACAUACCCAACCCAUUGCUGCUGAUGUUGGCAUAUUAACUGCACAAUGUUUACACUGUAUGAAGCUGUCAGGUCUGGUAAAGACAUGAUACAAUGCAACUUUUCUCCUUGAAGGCUCUUACCUAUGGAUGCUACGGAAGCCAUAGGACAUUUUCCUUAAAUGGUUUUUAUGCAGCUAUAUUCCUGUAAUGUAAGUAGAUAAAUGUGACUGCUACAGUAGACAUAAAAAUACAAAUAAAUGUGUCAAGCCUUUAACAUAUGGGGCAAUAUUUAGAAAAUAUGUACAAAAAGACAUUACUUCAAAUAACUUCAUGAAUGAACAACGACUGUGCCUUAAUCUUCUUUUAACUAUGUUUUGCUAUUUACAUCCUAGGCUGAACAUUUGACCUGGAGCUUUCUGUGUCCUGCAGGUUUCUGGCCCCCACCAUUGCUCCUAAAGGUAUGACCAUGUUGUCCCAUGUAAAAGAGUUCUUGGUUUAAAAGUUUACUUGUUCUUGCAUUUAAAAUGAGCCAGCCAGGGUCCCAGGGAUAAAUAGGGUUUGUAGGAAAUUACUGUAUUCUCUUGUGGUGGUCACAAUGAAGAUAAUUGAUGGGAGGGGGUCUUUCCAUUAGAGACUAAUUCUAAAGACAAAUGGCAGGGGUGUAAAGCUCUUGAGAUUAAUUCAUUCACGAUUAGUAAAGCAAUGAUCAAAUCAAUGAAAACGUUAGAUGAGAAUGAAGAUAGGCCAGCAAUCAUGUCUCAGUGGCACAUGGCACCUUCUUUAUCUAUACUGUAGUUCUGGAAGACUGAGGCUUAGACAGAACUCCCUCAAUUCUUGUCCUGUUAUUGAUUCUGUGGGGGCAAGGAUAGGAUUAUACAAUGGUCUUGUUUUUAUUACGUUUACUUAUUUGUCUUGGAAGGGCUGUGGCAGUUUGCGUCCCAGCAUAUGCUUGGGGGUUCAGAGGACAGCCCCUUGGGGCCUAUCCUCUCUCCUUCUAGCAUCUGGGUGCCAGAGAUUGGACUAAGGUCAUCCAGGACCCUGUUAUAUAGACCGAUAAACAGGAAGUAAAGAAACUAAAGUAUUGCCCUACCAUGAAUCUAUGAAACGUUAAUGUAAACUAUGAAAACCGAUGUGUGUUAAGAACAAUAACGCUCCAUGCUGGGAGCUUUGUCAGAACCACAAAUGCAGACACACAGAGGGAUGAUCAAUACAUUUUUAAUUGAUAUCUGAAUGAAUUUCUGAUUGAAGUGUUGGAAAGAAGGCUGUUUUGGGGAGGGUCUUUCUCACUUUCUCUGUCUUUUCUUUGAGGAUGGAUGCUUUCUGGCUUUACAGCUUCGGGAGCACCCUGCCAUGCUGUUUGCUUCAUUGGUUGGGGCCACAGAGGCCAAGAGCAUAUGGCAGACUCCUGGUGACCCUCAUACUGCUGUGAAAAGCUACAAGCUCCUAUGUGUUUGAGAGUGGGACUGUUGCAAGGAACAGAGGCAAUGCUGUGCUGUGUGGUUCUGUUGAAGACAUCCAAUGACUGCUGUAGGUAAGUACCAACUGCAAUCAAAGAAUACCAACAGUGGCCAAUGAUUAUAUAGAUAUGAGGCAUUGUAUUGAUGAAUUGAUUGGGUUGAUUAAUUGGUUUCAUAACAAAAAUGACUGAGAACAAUGGUGCAUUCAAUGACAUAUGCGAGCCUGUAGGUAAAUUUUACAGAUAGCUAUAGAUCUAUCCCUCCCUUGAGGCUUAUGGCUCAUUGGCGAUUGCUCGUAGGUUAAUGCUAUUAAAGAAGUGAAAAAUGAAUUAGUAAGCAACUGUAGACAUCCCAAUGUCUUGAUCCAGUGAUUACAAUUGGUGGUCUAUCAGAGGUCAAACAGGAUGUCUGACUAGGUAUGUUUAGAUCUGUGGGGUUUUUAGAAACAAGAAGUGCUGUAUAUGUGCUGGGAUCAUUUGCAAAUGAUCUAGUAUAUAAAAAUCUUAUUCUUUUAGUUUUGGUGGAGUUCUUUGUUUUUCUCAUUUAUUGAUAUAUGUUAAUAGAAUAUACAAUCUAAACAUAAGUGGCCCAAUGUCAUGAAUGAAAUCAAAUCUUUCCACCAUGAACCCCAUAAACCCCCAAAACAAACCUUUUCUAUUUCCUUUAUCUGAAAUGAACCUAUUGACAGAUACCAGGGAGCGUUCAGUAGAUUUGUUUGGGGCCUCGGUAGCUUGUUCCUGAGUGCUAAUGUGUCAUAAGCAAAUCAAUAAACACAAGCGCUGUGAAUGAGGAUGGAUGAGCCAACUAAAGUGCGGCCUCGUUAAGAGCUUGUUUACUGGAGCUGGGUUUGUUAUUUUGUAUCUCUACCACCGCUGUCUGUGGAUAAAAAUAGAAGCCUGUGACCCACGUCACAGCCAGCGUAUACCCAGAUGCUUGAGGGCUCUGUGUCUCUGUCCAAGGGACUUGGGACUUCAUAUGCUUUUGACCUUUAGCGAGAUAGAAAAAGGUACAUAAAUAUCCACAUUUGAAAAAAAAAUAAAGGAAAUUGUCCUAGCUAUGUACCAAGUGUGAGUACAUUUAAUACCAUGUAUUACAAACUAAUAAUUGUGCAAGAAGAGUCGGAGUUCAAAAGAAAUCAAGGUUCCUCGGUUGUUUAUAUAGCUGUACAUUGUUUUAAAUUGCUCCAUUUGUUCCAUGUUUCUGCGUUAGCAGAUCUGUGGCCCAGAUAUUCCAAGUUUAUAAUAGAUACAACCUAAGCACAUUAUGAUGCAUGGAGACAAGCAAAUUAAGCAGUGAUAGCCAAUGGGAUGCUUCUGUUCUGCUUCUUACAUCUAUUCAAUCGGCCCUGGAGGUGAUGUGAUAGAAAUUGUCCCAGUCAGUUCCAAGGAUGACACAAACCAUUGCAUGACGUGUUGAGUGUUUGGUGAAGGUGUCCACUAAGUUGUUAGUCAUGGUCACUGAUGGAAUCAGUAAUAUGUCAUGGCUAAAUGUCCUUAUCCUGGGUCAGUUAUGAAUUUCAAGCUGUUGGUUGUAUUAUACAAAAAGAAGACAUUAAAUAAUUAUUUGUAGGAGAAAAGUUUUAUUUUUAUAACAUCUUGAAACCUUUUUCUUUCUAUACUGUGGACGAUGAUUCUAUCUUGGAUGAGACUGGGGAGCAGCCAACACUCUUUUUCCAUGUAAGUUUUCACAUACACUCACCAACUGUCUGCAUAUAGAGCCACUGUCCAGAAACCAAGUCUGUCUAAACACCAGAUGGCAUUUGUGACCCAUUAGCAUUUCUCAUCCCACCAAUGCUUGCCUUUCCCACUCACUUCCCCCUUUAUUUGCAUGUCUUGAGUGCAUGAAUGUUUGUGCUUGUGUGUCAAAAUUUGACAUGUCCUCUAAAUAUUCUAUAAUAGAUAAAUGUGUUUAAUACAUCAGAUACUAGAGAAGAUAAAUACUUCUGUUGUGGAGCAAGAGUUCAGAGAGGAACAAACUGGUCAGUGUCAGAGAACUGAUGCUGCGUCCUGCUAUCAAUAGGGAGAACACACAGAGUACAUAGGGAAGGGCAAGGGACUCAACUGUGUUUAUGGCCAAGGUUUCUAUGACCUUCUAGCAAGCACGGAUUUGCAUGUUUGUCUCUGUGGGGAUGAAUACACAGAUUUUGAUAAUAUCUGAGGCUCAUCCUUUCAGUCUCUAUUGCAUCAUCAGUUUGAUUUUGUUAUUAAUAAUUAGCAUAUGAACGAUGAACGAAAUGAGACACUGUAUAAAAUGAAGGUCACCAGGUUUGGGAAAGCGUGGCAGUCCACAGUGAGGGGAGGGUUAGUAUUAAUGUGUUUUAGGCGCCGGACACCCACUAGGCAUGCAGUGAAGUGGGAGAGGCUGCCUUUUGGGGUAUGGGUAAGUGGUUUUAGAAAUGACAUGGAAUAGUCAGGAUUUUUACUUUGCGUCCAUGAAAAUUUCAAGUAUUUGAAUUCUCAAGAAAAAACAACACAACAAACUAAAACAAUCAAAAAACAAACCCAAAUAACCAUAUCACAAAGUAAUAAAUACUAAAAUGACUAGCAAAGUUACAUUUGAAAGGCAUGUGUUAAUUGAUUGACUCUCAAUAGGGAGUGUUUUUUGUUUGUUUACUUGUUUGUUUUGAUUGUUGUUGUUCCUUUCAGAGAGGUUCUCACUGUGUAGGUCUUAUAGGCCUGGCACUAACUCAGUAUGCAGAUGAAGCUGGUCUUGACCUCAUAGAGAUCUACCUCCCUCUGCCUCCUAGGUGCCGUACCCUUGGUGUCUCUCCAUAUUUCAUUCACAUCAUUUUACAUGUGCUUCAGAAUAAAUGCACCAAACUUACUAAAGUAGGGCCCUGAAAUCAACGUGCUGCAAAGACAGAGAUGGAAAUCAGUGAUAAAUAAGGCAAUUUUUUCCCCCGUAUUUAGUGGCAGGUCUUUAUUAUUGUUUACCAGUUGGGAAAGUAACAGAUAAAUGUAGAAGAGGGAGAGGAAGGAAUGAAAUCCUGACCCAGAAUGAUGACGGUGCCUGAGUAUCUGUACCAUGAGUAAUGAAUAAUUCAUGUCAGAAAAUCUGGUUUAGUUCAGACAGAGAUUGUUGUAUUAGCUUUGCUGGGACUAAUCCUGUGGAGACGUCAGCUAUCCCAAAUGUCGUGUGCUUUGGGGUUUGGUGCUUCAUGAAUUUUGAUUGUUAUUACAAGAAAAAUCAGUGGCCAAAUUUACACUUUGAUUACAUAAAAAAAAAACAGGAUGAAGGAAUAGUAAGAAAUAUUAUUAAUAUAAUUUGCAAAUACUGAAGACCCUGUGUCAGUGAUUCUGGGGAGUUUUCUUCUUGCCCAGAGAUGCAAAGACAUGUGGUCAUCCUCGCCAGUGCUGUUGUUCUGAGUCAGUCAUUUGGACCCUGGCGGUACUGGUCUUACUUGUUGCAGGAGUCACAAUACUGAGGCUUUACACAUUAAUUCUUUUCUUGCUAUGGCUUGGUAUUAAAUCCCAGAUUGUUCUCUUGCUUAAGAGAAAAAUAGACGAGUUAUAAAACGUUAAUAAAUGUGUGCAUUGGAGGAUGGAGACAGGAGAAUCCCCUAGUGCUUUGCUUCAUCAUCUCAGGUGCCUUGGUUUCAGAGCUUUGUGGCUUCUUCUUUGGCGCGGGCUUAGUGGACGCCAUAUUCUUAGCACAAGUGUAGAGGUCGGGUAGCCAACACUCUCUGUCUAGUUUGUGUGGUUUGUCUCCUGGUUUUCACUACAGGUUUGCACAGUCUCACACAGAGCUGAGAACUACAGUUUGUCAUGAUGUGAUACCAAUGUGAACUGAAGACUUCUUGUCUUGUCUCGGGUGACUUAGGUUAUCAAUGACCAAGUGUCUAUCAGGUUGCUAAUUAUGGCCAACUGAAUACCAAUGGUACAAAUAGGCACUGCAUGAACAUUGUCGUAAAUAAUAAAAAUAUGGAAACCAUCAUGAAUUAAUGCAAUGGUAGGUCAAUGUUAGGAAGAGGGUCCAUUAACAGAUUAGCAAUAAUAGCUUUAAUAAUAAUAAUACCCCCUACUUUGGGAAUGGAAUGGGUCAUAGGCUUAUAAUUUUAAUUAAUUAUUCAAUAUGAAAAGUAGAAAUGUUAUAGAAAAGAGGCCUCGAUCCUUAACCAUUGGUGAUGAAUGUUGCAUACAAGGCAUAGGCAAUGCGCUUUGUGCCCAGUUUUCUGUAAUUCAUUCCAUGAGAUGGAAAGUAUUUGUUUUUAAUUUACGUGUUCAUUUAUUUCUGUCCUGUUAGUUUGAAAGCAUUGAUUCCUGCAGAGAAAUAACUUUGGUACUUUAAAGUGUUCUUUGGCUAGAGAGGAGGCAGACAGUAUAAUUAAUAGCUAAUAAUCAAUGUCUGGGUCAAGGAAAAAAAAAAGCAACAAAGGGCCUCCAAAUAAUGACUUCUUUCACGGCCCACCAAAGGAAGGAGGAGAAGCAAAACUAAAAUAGAUUAGGCCAUGUUUUAAUGAGCUGCUCUGCUUUGGUGUCCUGGGCCCGGAUGCCCUGAGCCAGGGGAUGAAUCUUUCCAGGAGCUUGAGUUCCAUGGUUACGUGCAUGUGUCAGAGGCACGAAAUGCUUCAUCAUAAUAACCACUGUGAUGGUUUCGACUUUUGAAAAGCAUUAAAGUUACUGAAACGUGCCUGCAGUAAACAUUAGACUUAAGUUAUAUAUUGCACUGAGCCCUUUGUAUGAACCCCUGAGCUUGAUUUAUACAAUACAUCUGGACUCUCUGGAAGCAAUUAUAUAGGAACAUCCUAGAGGAUUGUUCAAGAGUCUACUUUUCAUUACAUUUAUAUAUGUUUUUUUAUAAGAUAUGAAAUAAUCAAGAAAGUAAUGUGCAGUAUAGAAAGAAAGGCUAUUCGACUUGUCCCCUUACUAAGUAUACCACAUUCAAGCACCGAACUGUGACUCAGUACCCAAGGAUCCAACUUUACCACCUGUGCCUCCCUCUUUCCCACCUCCCCUGUCCCUGGGAAGCACCAGCCAACUCUCACCUUGCCUGGGAUUAGUUUCAAUGCGAAUGCACUCAAUGCACCUUCUAUGCCCGAAUUAUUCCUCUUAAUUCUAUUCAUUCCGUCUACAAUGCCAUUUUUUAAGUAGUUUAUAUCUAAAUAAGAUCUGAGGAAGGCUUAGUACUUUAGUAGUGUGACCAUGCUCAAGUGGUUAGAUUCACAUUCACACACAUAUGGCUGACUAAUUUUAGACUGCAAAUGGAGCCAUAAAGUUGAGAGAGACACAAGGUUCAUCCCGGAGUGAGGAGGGUGUUCCUCAUGAACAAAAUACAUUGUGGAAAUAUAUGAAAUUCCCUCAGAAUAUAUCUAAAAUUUUUAAUCCAUAAUAAUAUAGAAACUGAAGAAAAAAAUACUUAUCAGAAAGAGAAGCAAUAAUUUGAUUUAGAAUGCAAAGUAGCCUCUGGGUCUCUUUGGAAGCCAGUGAGGUUGGACGUGUCCAGCAUCGUCCUGAGCUUAUGAAUCAUGUUUAUUGAUAUAUUUUAAUUAAUAGCUUAGAGAAAAAAUAGAAAUGCUGUAAUUAAAAAGGCAAACAUGAACCAGUGGUGGUGGCUGAUAUCAAUUUGAAUAAAAUAUGCCUGGACUCUGGAAUCAAAUGCAAAAGAAAUACAGGCCAUCCCCUCAUGAGAUAGUGUACUCAUGAAAGAGUUGGCAACAUCCAAGGAUCUUGGUCCUGGCUUUUGGUCAAAGUUAGAUGAAUGAGCACAUCAGUCAUUCGAUUAAUGAAAUAUUGUCUAACUACAAAAAUAAAUGAACAGUAACAUUAUGAUGUGUGAGGAAACAUACAUGGUCUGACCAGGUCUGACUCUGUGACUCCCCCAUUUUGUGGCUAAAGAUGGUAUAGACAUCAUAUGGUAAACACUAGUGUUCUCCGUAUAUGGAAAAUUUUAAAUUCUCUUUUCUGUAAGUUAAUGUGGUUCUCAACCUGUGGGUUGCAACCCCUUUGAGGAGGGAUCAAAUGACCUUCAUACAGGGGAUGCAUAUCAGAUUCUUUUUUGUUUGUUUUUUUGUUUUGCUUUUUUUCGAGACAGGGUUUCUCUGUGUAGCCCUGAC